GUACUGCAUUUCAGCAUUUUGAAAACAAGUCUAUAUAAAAGGGGCCAAAAUGCAUCUUGAGAGUCAAUUAAAUGUUUGUGGCCUUACCUGCAUCCAGGAUUAGCAAAAUAGCUCCAAGAGGCACCUCAAAGCUCUCUCAGGUGAAAGAAAGCAACUGUUUGCUUGGACAAAAGUAUCCUGCAGUUUAUUUCUCUCCAAAUGUGCUGUCAGGGAAUAACAUCCUGCAGGUAUUGGCUGUUUGGCUGUUUCAUGGCUCCAGGAAACUGCAGGUAAUAGUAGAACUAUCAGUGUCCUGUAAAUGAUCAGUUGGAUAUUGAGUCAGGCAAAAGUCAGUCAUUCAUUCAUUCAAAAAAAUCAAUCAUUCCUCAAAAUCUUUGACUUUGCUGUUGAUAUGAGAAGGAUCUUUAUCAUGGUUGGGCCCUGACAAAUGUCCUCUUCUCUCCUCUUACACACAGCUUCUGGGCAAGCCCACCUGCUCCUGCUCUCAGAACAGGAAAGGAGAGAAGGCACCAAGUCCAGCCCUCCCGUGUUGCUGCAACAUGGCCCAGUAUUGAGCCACUCAGAUGCCAGCAGGUCUCCCUCUGCCAGGAACAGAGCAGUGACCUCCUCUGGGACAGGAAAAAACACUUAACUCAUCCCAUCUUUGCCCAGAGCCUUGGUGUUUGAGCAGCCAAACCCAACAAGCUCCAGAACUGCUGGUCCUGCCCAUGGUGUGGGGUGAGUCCCCAGCUGUCCCCAGAGUGCCCCAAAUGCAGAGGGAUCGGCCCUGCCCAGCUGUUGCCCACCAGGCUGGCUAGGAGAGAUCUGCCUUGGCUUUACAGGGAAUGUUUGCAGUGACUCAGGAGAUUCCAGCAGCCUCGUGUGUCCCGGCGCUUCCCGGGCAGCCGAGCUGCUCUCCCGCCCCUCCUGCUCCCAAGCCCCGCCGAGCUGAGGGCAAUUUGUCCUGCCAGCAGCAGGGGAAGGACCCUGGGGCUUGGAUUGUCCCUCUGGGGGAUGUUGGGAUUUCCAUCAUUCCAUGCAUUUGGCUGCUGGAAUUUCCCAGCCCAGGGGCUUUAGCUGACAGGGCAGCACAGGGAUUGUUCUCGGUGUGGCACCCAGAUCUCAGGGUCAGUAUCAGCUUUGCUGGUUCAGAUGAAUUAUACCCACAGCCCCAAAUUCCCUGCUGAAUUCCUGCUGGAAUAACCCAACAGUGCCUUGUGGAGUCUGGACAUUCCCAUGCAGAGCUGCCGUGGAACAGCAGCUGUGGCAGGAACCAGCAGAGGUUCCAGGACAAGGACAGGUUUGUAUUCCAUAGAAUUUGCUGUUUAUAAACCUCAUCCCCCAGCCCCACUGAUGUCCCUGGGGGACACUUGACAGAGUUCCCUGGAAUUCAGCUGAUUUCAUCCCCCUGAGCUCGGGCUCCAGUUGAAAUUUUAAAGCAGGAGAAGGUGAUGGCUCCUGGCCCGUGCUGAGGCAGCCCCUGUGCCCAGGGGAGGACAUCUCUCCCUGCAGGAGCUGACUCCAUCUCAGAGCCUCAGGAGUGCCUCUGCAGGUUCUUUUCCCUCAGGAAAGGGAUGCACAUCCCUGCUUCCAGCACACCUCCAGUGGGACCCACCUGUGAGUUUUCCAUCAGUUCUGUGGUUCCAGCUGGCUCCCUGGAACACUCCAAACUUCAUCCAAACAAAACCUCACCUGACUCUAACCUUUUAUUUACAGGCCUCCCUGAGGGCAUUGCUUGGGGUUUCAUUUCUGGGGGGAAGAUCCCCCUGGCUUUAACGCUGCUGAGGGAUGAUGUCCCUGGCUGGGAGGGAAGGGGUUUGGGGGGCUGGGACACACCUGGGGGUGUGCAGGAGCUCCGGGAGGUCGGCACCGGGAAUUGCUGCCUGAGCCCCUCCUCAAACGCACCGCGCUGACAUUCCCAGGUAAAGCCAGAUGUUCCAGCUGUUCCUCGGUAAUUUGGGGCUGCGGGCGGGGUCUGUCCGGGCUGAAGCAGCUCCGGAGCCCGUCAGAGCAGCCCCUGGCCGAGGAGCCGCGGGCAGCCCUCGAUCCACGUCCAUCCCAGCGCUGCCCAUCCCCGGGAUGCGGGUGUGGCGGGACACUGAGGCACAGCUCCUCCCCUGCAAACACCGAGGGCAGGAGGUGCUGGGUCCCUUCCUGGGCUCCCGGCCUCCUCCUGCCCCGCAUUCCCAGCCAGCUGGGACCACUGAGGAAACACCAAGGAACAUUCCCACCUGGGAGUGGGAGUCACCAAGGGCUCCGUGCAGCUCCGGGCCAGGAAAGUGGCCCCAGCCCCAGCACCUGCAGGGAUUUUGGGCUGUGAACACUCACCUGCAGGGAUUUUGGGCUGUGAACACUCACCUGCAGGAAACGCCCCUCUGCAGGUGGGACCAGCCCUGACACUCUCCUGAAGAACUCUGGCCACGGACCAAGUGAACCCUCAGGGCUUGUCCUGCUCAUUUCUCCUUGGAAAGGGACAUGGAAUGAGCACCUUUACAGCUGGUGGUAAAUCCUGGAAAGAGCAGGAAACCAAGGUUAUUGAAGAGUCUGGUGCUGUCCUGUGAGACACCAGCCAGUCCUGCUCUAGAGCCAGUCUAGGGGCUGGUGUGCAGAGCAGGACUAGCAGGAAGGAAGGAGCCACAUUGACAUAGGAAUUCCCUUGCUGGCAGCAGCCACCUCAUCCCAGGCAGGACCUUCCUCAUGAGCCUGAGGUUGCUCAGGUGCUUGGAGCAGGGUGCUGACAAGGCCAAGAUGCUGAAUUCAGUCCCCACGUGGGCCAAUCGCUCAUCACCGUUUGACUCGAUGAUCCUCGGGGCCCUUUCCAACUCGGAACCUCCUGUGCUCUGAAAAUAAAGAACAAACACCUU
rnacentral:lncRNA from 1 species